rnacentral:rRNA from 1 species
CGAUGGAAAACGGGUUAAUAUUCCCGUACUUGGAAUAAUUGCGAUGGGGGGACGGAGCAGGCUAAUCAAGCAUGGCGAUGGUUGUCCAUGUGAAAGGCUGUAGGCUGGUGACUUAGGAAAAUCCGGGUCGCUAAGGCUGAGAGUCGAGACGAGCUACUACGGUAGUGAAGUUGAUGAUGCCCUACUUCCAGGAAAAGCCUCUAAGCUUCAGAUUAUUUCGAAUCGUACCCCAAACCGACACAGGU